AUACGAAGGGAGCUAGCGUUGUUCGAAAUCACUGGGCGUAAAGCGCACGUAGGCGGAUGUGUCAGUCAGGGGUGAAAUCCCGGAGCUCAACUUCGGAACUGCCUCUGAUACAGCACGUCUUGAGUCCGGAAGAGGUGGGUGGAAUUCCUAGUGUAGAGGUGAAAUUCGUAGAUAUUAGGAAGAACACCGGUGGCGAAGGCGGCCCACUGGUCCGGUACUGACGCUGAGGUGCGAAAGCGUGGGGAGCAAACAGGAUUAGAUGCCCGGGUAGUCCACGCUGUAAACGAUGGAUGCUAGCCGUCAGCAAGCAUGCUUGUUGGUGGCGCAGCUAACGCAUUAAGCAUCCCGCCUGGGGAGUACGGCCGCAAGGUUAAAACUCAAAUGAAUUGACGGGG
rnacentral:rRNA from 1 species